UACGGGGGGAGCAAGCGUUGUUCGGAUUUACUGGGCGUAAAGGGCGCGUAGGCGGUCGUGACAAGUCACUUGUGAAAUCUCCGGGCUUAACUCGGAACGGUCAAGUGAUACUGUCGGACUAGAGUACAGAAGGGGCAACUGGAAUUCUCGGUGUAGCGGUGAAAUGCGUAGAUAUCGAGAAGAACACCUGCGGCGAAGGCGGGUUGCUGGGCUGAUACUGACGCUGAGGCGCGAAAGCUAGGGGAGCGAACGGG
rnacentral:rRNA from 1 species